rnacentral:lncRNA from 1 species
CAUUUUACAGUUCACAAUUGUCAAAUCUGAAUAACUAUGAGUGUGGUAAGCCUUCUCCUUUUUCCUCUAGCAAAAUCUCAAAAGUGACAGUGUCAGAUUUAUCAGUCUCCAUUUUCUUAGAAGAACGAUCCAUCGAGAGGCUGAUACCGAUGCACAAGAAACAGAUUUAACAGGUUCAUCCGCCAACAUGUUAUCUUUCCUGACUGUAUGUUCAAUCACUACAUGAUGUUGGCUAUCAGAAUAUUAAUCCUUUUUAUCUCCAUUGCUAUAAACCCAAAUUUCAUCUAGAAUUUUUUUAAGAGAGGGUACCUGUUUCCAAUACCACAGGUAGUAGAUGAUGAUAUGUAUAGUGCUCCAACUGAAUCCUCAAGGCCAUAGUUUCUGCCAGUAGUAUAGAUCCCUCUCCGACCCUUCUUUCUCCAUAAAGCAAGUCUCAUCUUUUGUUUGGCGGCGGGGUAGGAUUUUGCACUAAUUUUAAUAGUAUAUUACAAAGACCCUUCUAAUAUCAUAACACAAUAACAUCUACAAUAUAAUUUUUAAAGAAUGUUUAUUUAGAAAGAUUUCUCCUAAUAAAUUUUAAAAUUUUCAAUUUUAUCAUUUGAUCAAAUCAUAUCAAAUAAUAUAUUUUUAUUUAAUUUUUCAUAUCAUCUCAUGAUUUACAAACUAAAAGCUUUUGCGUAUAAGAGCUUUUCAAUCAUAUUUUCAAUAGUCCUGCUACUGUAUUUUUAAAAAUAAAAAUAAAAUAUUACUUUUAAAUUAAUUUUUAACCAUGUUAUUUUAAGCUUUAUUUUUAACCAUGACAAGCAGCAGAUGAAGAUUAUAUCAAGAACGAAGUUCAUGUACGUGAUAUGAAGAGAAGACGGAUCAAGUGAAGAAAAUCAAGCCAAAAAAGGAGAUUUGUUAAGAUUUUUGCCUUGAUUUUCUUACUAUAUUUAAAUUUUACUUUUUCUUUGAAGGAAAAUAAAAGUUAUCAUAAUUAUUUUUACUUUUUUUGAAAAAAAAAAUAUAAUUAUUUUUCAUAUUUGACUAACCUCUUGGAGGAAAGGUUUUGGACAUCUAUAAUAGAAGAUGUCUUUUUAUACCAUAAUACAAUAGCAUCCACAAUGUAGUCUUUUAAGAGUUAGAAGAGCUUUUUUCAUAUCAUAAUACAAUAAUAUCCACAAUGUAGUCUCUCAAGAAUUUCGUUUAGGAGAGAUUUUCUCUCUCAUUAAUUUUAUACUUUUUAGUAUUAUUUUUAAUAUUAGGUUUUAUAUGUAGGUCAAUUGGUCAAAUCACAUAAUAAUAUUAUGUUUUUAGUAUGUUUUUCUUUGUCAUCUGAGUUAUUGUUUUUUAUAAUUUGCAACCAAUAGCUUCCGCAUGACACCUCUCGAUUCCGUACCCAACAUCAUCCUCAUUUCUAAUACAAGAUACACUUGAACUUGGAUCAGGAUUUUCCAUAAUUACUCCGUCAGAAUUAUAUUUGAAACUGCCACCAUCUGGUAACUUCCAAUAGACCACUUUACAUUUGAUUUGUUGUGAUUUGACAAUAUUUUCAACGCCUCAAAAUAAGGGAUUGUUGUGUGAUGUUAAGCACUUUUUGAUAGAUUUGAUGUGUAUUUGUGAGUUUGUGCAGAGAAAUAGGUGUCGAAAGGGAAUAACAAAAAAGGGAUGAAAAAGUAUUUACUAACUCUUAGAGCUAAGGUACGACUCGUAAAGACAAGGCAUGAAUCGCACCAAGGCCCGCUCUGAUGGCAAAAGCUGAGAUCCAAAAGAAGUCAAGUCCAGGUCCAAUAUACGAGUCCCUUUUAACGAGUCGUUAGCUUAGGUCAAGAGUCUCUGAUCUGUGUGUAAAUUGUAAAGUCAAAUAUCAGAGAAAAUGCAAUGUUAAGUCAGUGAUUACGGAUAGAAGUCAACGUAUGGAUCAUCCUCACUCAUUCUGGUGAAUUGUGAGAAGAAAGUGCAGAAGGUUGAAAAGUUAAGAGUCAAGUCACCACGGAAGGAAGCUACGAGCCACAUGAUGAAGGUAUGAAUUAUGUUCACUCAUUUGAAAAAUUAUAGGAAGCAACUACUAAAAGGUGCAAAACAUGACCCAGGAGGCAUGAGUCAAUGUACGACUCGUAUGAUCAAAGAGUGAGUCGUAUCGAGAGAUAGCAGAAGAACUGAAGAAGGAUAAAGAACGAGCUCCAAUUAUUACCUACGAGUCGUGACUUCACCGUACAACUCAUAGGCAUUGCCGAACAUGCAAUCCCAUUAUAUAUAGGAUAACUUUUGUUUUUAUCUAUAAAUACCUUUCCUAGGUUUUUAUUAUAGUUUACACUCUCUGAAGCCUUGGAAACUUAUUUUAUUCUUGGGUUUUGGAAAAUUACUCAUACUUAGAUUAUUGAUCACUAAUUCUUCUUUGAUAAUUGAAGAUCUCGAUUUAUUCACUCAAUUUGUAAGUUUAUAAAUAAUUUUUAAUUGUGAUUCUCAAGC